CACUUAGUGGACUCCUCGGGUUGAUUUCGUCUGGGGGUCCUUGAAUGCCACUUUCCCUUCAAGGUCAACGUGGGUUCUAAACCACUGUAGGCUGCCUGUAUUUCAAGCUUCCAAAAUUUUCUGGUGCAUUUUAAACUCGAGAACCUCUGGUUGUAACUUAAGCACCACAUGGUUGGAAAUUUUGUCUCCUAAGAUCCCGGUGUGAGAGAAAAGCAGCCAAGGUGUGUGUGUGUGUGUGUGUGUGUGUGUGUGUGUGUGUGUUUGUAUGUUGAGAACACUGGAGUCUUUGUAAGGAACAAUGUUGUCCAUUCAAAUAUUCUUGAAGAAAAACUCUAUAUGACUGCAUUAUUAUCUAAGGGUUUUUUUGGGAACUUUUUUAUUAUUUAUAUAUCUUUGCAUUAAGAUUCAGAGGAAGACUUUAGGGUAUGGUGGCUAUACUCUGCCUACCUAACGUUCUGUUUUAGAAUAGAAUUUUUAGGAGGCAUUUAAACGUUUCAAAACAUUCGAGUUGAUUUUCUUCCCAAAGUGAAAUCUUGCUCCAUGGCCUCAGAAGGACCAGAGUGAUGGUUCUAUCCUUCUGAAGAUGUGUUCUAGCCUCUGUGGACUUGGAGGUCUACUGCUGUUACUGUGGGCUGGAAGGUGGCUCCGUACUUACAAGAGCCUGCUGUUUCUCCUGGGGACCUGAGUUUGGUUUCAAGCACCCACAUUGGAUGCUCUGACUUCAGUUCCAGGGGAUCUGAUGCCUUUUUCUGGCCUCUUCGGGCAACUGAACUGGUACAUAUAUCCCCACAUAGACAUACAGAGACACAUACACAGAAGUAAGUAUACCGAAGGCCUGAGAAUAGCCAAAUUGACUAAUUAAUUAACUAAUUAAUUAAUAGGACCAGCUGGGCCCUGAUUGGCCGCAUCAUGGAAGAGCUGUCAAAAAGAUACCAUCAAAGCUGGUCAGUGGUGGUGCACACCUUUAAUCCUAGCACUUGGGCACCAGAGACAAGUAAGUCUCUGUGAGUUCUAAGUCAGCCUGGUCUACAUAGUGAGUUCUAGGGCAGCCAGGGCUACACAGAGAGAUCCUGUCUCCAAAUAGACAGACAGACAAACAGACAAACAGAUGAAAACAAGAGCAUACAGGAGUACAAACGACCAUGGCCCCUCAAAGCAGCCUAAACCAGGGGAAGAAUCUGGAGAUAUCAUCCUACUUGACCUCAAACUACACUUUAGAGCCAUAGUAAUAGAAGCUGCAUGGCCCUGGCUCGAAAACUGACCUAGAACAAUGGGCCAGGACAGAGGACUCAGGAAAGCCAGUCUCUUCGACAGAUGGUGCUUGGGAGACUACACAUCCGUAUGCAGCGGAAGUGCUAGCAAACCAGCCAGGCAGUGACUUUCUGAGCAGGGUUCCAGUGAGACUCAGAGAAUAAUGGUAAGAAUCGACAAGGGACAGUGCAUUGAGUGCUGGCACCUACCGAGAGCCUCAGUACUGGGAGGUACUGAGGGGACCGAGUUAGCCAGAGCUGGGCUGACUCCAUGACAAGCUACGAACGGGCAGUUUGGGAGACUAGACCUAAGGUUCUGCUCCCCAGAACCAGAAAAGUCUAAAACCACCAGUUCCAGGAAGAACCACCUGUCAUGGGCAGUCAGCCAGAGCUGUAGAAGCUGCCUCACCACUAGCUUGAGCAAAGUAUCAGCAAACACCCCCAAAUCCCCCAGAGCCCUAAGCAAUCACACAGGCACCCAUACACCUGGAGAGAGAGCCAACCAAUCAAGGGGAGGGAAGGUAAAAGUCCCUUGAUCCUACCCUGCAGGCUUUAACCUGACCCUGCAAAGUCCACACCUCUGUCUUCUAUGCCAGUUAUGGGGGGCCUCUGCGUGCAGGUUCUCUGAGAAUAACUGCUCUUUGCUGAUGCCUACCAUUUGAGUCUGGGGUAUCAUUCUUCAUGAAUCACAGACCCUCACAGUGUUUUGAAGGCUACCAGAAAGUUAAACACCAGCCUAGCUACAAACCCUCUGAUCUAAUUAAUGGUGAGCUGCCCACAAAUAUGUUGGUAAAAUAUUAGCACAAAAGUUAUGCAGGUAUCCAGUUAACAAAAGUUAUGCAGGUAACCAACUAGUACUUGACUUGAUUUAGAGCCACUCCGUGAAAAUGGCUCCUACUGACAUUCUGCCGUAUAGAUCUCUGAGUGCUGAGCGGUGAUCAGAGAAGCUUCCUCCUGCAGCGGUCAGGGAUGAAUACAAAGACCCCAGUUGUAAAUGGGAAGCCUUCAUCAAACCCUGCCCCUCAGUGCUCAGGGAGGAGGCUGAGAGACUAAGCCAGAUGUGAAGCGAACAAGGCCAUCAAACGCAGCACAACUUAGGCACACAUGGGCCCACAACCCCUGUGGUGACCUGGGCAGGUGCCAGUGCUGGGUGGGGAAGGGUCACAAGCCCCCACUCCUAACCUGGAAGCUUAACAAUCUCCAACAGUUUGGGUAUAUAAACCACGCUCCGGGCUGAUGCAGAACAGGGAUGGCCAACACAAAACAAAGUCAGUGGCCAGUAUAUUCUGGAGGGUUUGUCUUAUAAUGCUUUGUCUGGGCUCUUAAAAAAAUAAACCAUAUGGGUUCUUUGGGUUCUUUGCUCCUAUAUUAUGGUUUCCAAUUGUGUGUGUAUGUGUUUGAAAAUGACUUUUUUAUUUAUUAUGCAUAGUGUUCUGCCUGCAGACCAGAAGAGGGCACCGGAUCCCAUUACAGAUGGUUGUGAGCCAUCAUGUGGUUGCUGGGAUUUGAACUCAGGACCUCUGGAAGAUCAGCCAGUGCUCUAACCGCUGAGCCAUCUCUCCAGCCCCUUUAUGUGCUUUUCUUGUGCUUUCUCUUUGGCUCUCUUUGGUUGGUUGGUUUAUUCUAUUUUGAUUUAUUUGUUACUUGCUUGUUUACCUUCUACUCGAGGGAGAAGAAGAAAGAAUGUGGAUUUGGGUGGGUGGGGAAGUGGGGAGGAUGUGGGAGGACACUGGGGAAGGAAAACUCUGAUUAGAAUAUACUGUAUGAAAAAAUCCAUCUUUUUUUAAUCUUUAAAGUUUUUUAAUUGAUCAUUUCCAUUUGUUUACAUUCCACUUACCAGUUACCCCUCCACCAACCUCCAUCCCACAUUCACCCUCCCCCCACCCCUUUGCCUGUACCAGGGUGCUUUCCCCUACUUUCUCCUGCUCCACAACUCCACCAUCCCCCUACUUUGGGGUAUCAAAUCUCCCUGGGACCAAGGGCUUCCCCUUCCAUUGCUGUCAGGGAAGGUCAUUCUCUGCUACAUAUGUAUCUGUAGCCAUGGAUCCAUCCCUCCAGGGACACUCCUUGGUUGAUGGUCUAGACUCUGGGAGCACUGGGUGGUCCAGCCAGCCAAUGUUGUUCUUCCCAUGGGGUUGCAAUACCCCUGUGCUCCUCCAGGCCUUCUGGCAACUCUAGCACCAGGUUCCUGAGCUCAGUCUCAUAGUUGGCUCCAAGCAUCCGCAUCUGUUCAGUUGCUGGGCAGACCUCCCAAGGAACAACCACAUGAUGUUCCUUUCAGCAAGUUCCUCUGGAGCACUGCAACAGUAUCAAGUUUGUUGUCUGCAGACAUGACUGAUCCCUAGGUGGGGCAGUCCUCAGAUGGCCUUUCUAUCAGUCACUGUUACAUUUAAAAAAAUCCAUCUUAAAUAAAAACUAAUUCUUUUUUUUGAGACUGGAUCUCUUUAUGCAGAUCAGGCUGGCUUGGAACUCACAUAUCCUCCUGCCUCCGCCUCCCCAGUGCUGGGAUCAGAGGUGUGUGUCAACACCCAGCUAGUUUUUUUUUUUUUUUUUAAUAGGGUACAUCAAAUUAAAAACCCUCUACAUGGGGGGAGGGUUAAUAUGAAGCAAAGAACAUAGAAAACCACAUAUGAAAAUGUCAUCGUGAGUCCUGGCACUGUGUAUGAGGAAUAUACACACUUAUUAAAAACAAGAGUGGGUUGGGAACUGACUCAGUGGGUAAAGCAGUUACCAUCCAGGAUUGAUUCUCAGCACCCACCAUGGCAACCCACAGCCAUCUGCAACUCAUUCCAGGGGAUCCUGCUCCCCCUUUUGCCCUCUGUGGGUACUGCACUCAUGUGAUAUACGGAAUACAAGCUCUUUUGGGUGCUUGCCUGCUUUGGGCAAACACCCAAAAGAGAAGCAUGCAUUCCUCACAGUUCUACCGAUAGCCCUCACCACCAUCCCCCCCCCCCCCCGUCCUGUAAGUCACUGUCUUACUCAGGGUUCCUAUUCCUGCACAAACAUCAUGACCAAGAAGCAAGCUGGGGAGGAAAGGGUUUAUUCAGCUUACACUUCCACAUUGCUGUUCAUCACCAAAGGAAGUCAGGACUGGAACUCAGGCAGGUCAGGAAGCAGGAGCUGAUGCAGAGGCCAUGGGGAGAUGUUACUUACUGGCUUGCUUCCCCUGGCUUGCUCAGCUUGCUUUCUUCUAGAACCCAAGACCACCAGCCCAGGGAUGGUACCACCCACAAUGGGCUUGGCCCUCCCCGCUUGAUCACUAAUUGAGAAAAUGCCUUACAGCUGUAUCUCAUGGAGUUAUUUCCUCAAGGGAGGCUCCUUUCUGUGAUAACUCCAGCUUGUGUCAAGUUGACACACAAAAUCAGUCAGUAUAGUCACCUUAGUAAUUCUCUGGUCCCACAUCAGCUCGACUUGGGUACAGUCCUCUCUUUAGUUUACUGUGAUUGUUCUCUAUCGACAUUUGUUUCGAGUCUCCUCAGGAAAAUUCACAGGACAGGUACCCCUUCCCCCGAAGGACCCUGGUACCGCUAGGUGCUCAAGAAAUUCCUUGUGAAAAAAAUCCAAGGGCUUUGCUUUAGCAAAUGGCCUUCUGAGAAUCGGAUCAGACACUUUUGGGGGCGGGGAAUGCAGGUACGCACAUGCAAAUCACUGCGGCCACAGGGGCCUGACUUUUGAACUUCAUUUUACCUAGAGCUUGGGGGGAAUGUAAUCAUUGAAAACUGGAAUGACUGACGAAGCUGUGUGUUUAGGAGUAACUACAGGUAAGAUCGGCUUCUGAGCAGAGCAUUGUAUGGAGUGGUUGAACUGUUUAUCAACAGAGAAUUGCUGGCAUGAGAUCCAAGAUGAAGUGUGGGUCCUGACCAAUGAAACUUGAGGGAUAUCCGUCACUUGGUGGAGUGGCGCCUUGUGGGGGGUGGAAUCUGGGGCCCGGAGCAAACUGGUGGGUGGUGUAAACUGGAAGGUUCCAGGGUACACCUGAGGUUCAGCAGACACGAAAAAGAGCUCAUCUCUCUACCUAUGGUAGAGAAACCCCCGGAGUGCCAAGAAUGUAUUGACACCCGGCAAAGCCUGCUGAUCCUGCACCUGCGCCUAAAGAUGGUGUCUGGGAUUCUCCUCCUCAUCAGGGAGUCGAUCUGCAGCUCCUGGCAGAGCUUGUCAAACAGACGCCCACGGGGCUCCUCACGCAGCCAGGAGGAUCAGCAAGGGCGGGCACGCUGUCUGGUGAACACCUCCACGCUUAUUAAGGAUCCGCAUCUGAUCACUGGGGCUUGCCGGCAUGUUUGCACAUCCCUGUCAGGAGAGAUUGGAAAGUGAUUCAACAAGGAUGAAAGUGAUUGCUCUAGGAGAGAAGAGCUCCGAGACGGGAGAUCUCCUCAGGCAAAACUAUCCGAGACCACCGUGACACUGUAAGAACUCCAGGUAGACUGAUCAAGGGACAUUUAGCCGCUCUGUCUUUGCACAUCGCUGAGGCACACGUAAGCCUGAGAGGAAAUGAAGAAGCACAGGUGUGUUAGCUAACAAAUCUUCGUGAGGGCCUGUUGAUUGGAAAGCGUCCCCAGUGAGGAGUUUCUCACCCAGUGCCAUCCUGUCAGGUGUGGGGCUCUCUGAGGGGCGGGAGACCCAAGUCCUCAAGGCAAAGUAGUACACUGAGGGGCAGAUCUUGGCUUCAUGAAGGCUCUGGCUGGCUUUUGACGGAACAGAUGCCUUCAGAGCAGCCAUACCUGAAAAAGUAUCACGCUGUGGCCUGCAAAGAUGACCACAGCAACUGGAAGCAGUGAUGACUUCUUUUAAGGACAGAGUCUUACAGUGCAUCCCUCCCUGACUGCUCUAGGACUUGGCCUGGAACUCACAGAGCUCCACCUGCUUCUGUGACCCAUGUGCUGGGAUUAAAGGGGUACACCACUACACCCCAAAAUGCAUUUUCAGAUUUUUUUUCUCCAUUCCUCUGAGGAAUAUUGGGAUUUUGGUGGAAUUAGUUCCAGCAAUGUGGCUGUGUUUGUAACAUUAGUUCUGCAAAAUGUUUGCUGCCUAAGUUACCCGGUUUGUGGUGUUUUUGUCCUGAUAGCUCAAGAUGACUACGUUUCCUUCUUAGUUUAGAUAACCUCAGAUGAUUCACCCCACAAUGGCUCUGAGUUCUACUAGUGAACAGAAAUUGCAGUUUUUAUACCUUAAAGUUCCAGGGUAUUACCCUAGUCUUGCUCUGUCUGUCUGUCUGUCUGUCUGUCUGUCUCUGUCUCUGUCUCUGUCUCUGUCUCUGUGUCUCUGUCUGUCUCUGUCUAUCUGCCUGUCUCUGCCCCCCCCGCCCCCCAGAAUUGUGCCUAGGCCCUUGUGAAUAGCAAGUACCAGGCAAGCACUCUCUCGGUCAUCUGUUCUCUCAGCUCUCCCCUUAUGUUUUCUGUUUUGAGAGAGGGUCUCAGAGCUACCUGGGAUCUACACCAAGUUCCCCUGCAUGCCUGUGUACCACAUGCGUGCCUGGUUACUUCAGAGGCCAGAAGAGGGCAUCAGAGCUCCUGGAACUGAAGUUAUAGAUGGUUGUGGGUGCUGGGAGCCAAAUGUGAGUCCUCUGUAAGAGCAGCCAGUGCUCUUAACCACCCAGCCAUCUCUUCACAUGCCCCAAAGCUUAUAUUUAGAUAAUUUCUAUUCCUUCACUGAUAUCCGUUGUGAGGCAGAAUUCUUAUAUUUCUCUUUAAUUGUUUAGAUGUAGCUGCCUUUAACUUUUGAACAUAUUUCAGUUACUAAUGUCUCAGUCACUGUUCUACUGCUGUGAACAGACCCUAUGACCAAGGCAACUCUCAUAAGGACGACAUUUAACUGGGGCUGGCUUACAGGUUCAGAGGUUCAGUCCAUCAUUAUCAAGGCGGGAACAUGGCAGCAUGUAAGGAGGCACUGGAACAGUAGCUGAGAGCUACAGACUGAUCUGUAAGCAGAAGAAGAAGGAAAGAGAGUGGGGAGGAGGAAGGGAACCAGACUUGGGCUUUUGAAACCUCAAAGCCUACCUCCAGUGACUGACUUCCUCCAAAAGGCCUCUUCAACAAGACCACACCUCCAAUUCUUCUCAAUCAUUGCCACUGCCUAAUGACCAAGCAUUCAAAUAUAUGAGCCUAUGGGGCCAUUCCUACUUAAAAUCACCAUACCUAAUAUAUAUUAGAUUUGUUUAUUUUUAGUACUUUGUGUGUCUGAGUGUUUGUAUCUGCCUGUGUACCUGUGUGUGUGUGUGUGUGUGUGUGUGUGUGUGUGUGUGUGCAUCAUCACAUGCAUGAUGCCUGGAGACUGUGGAGGUCAGAGGAGGGCAUUGAUUCCCUGGGACAUAUGCUGCUGAGACUUGAACCUGGAUCCCUCUGCAAGAACGAUUGUCCUUAACCAUUGGGCCAAUUCUUCGUACCCUAAUUUAUUUUUGUAUCUAUUCAGCUGAACACUUGGGGCCUAUUUGGGGAUCUUUUUUUGCCUCCUUUCUCUACUGAAAUGGUCACAAGGCAAAGAUCAUCUCCUGUCUCCAGUCAGGUUCUUGUUUGUCGUUCUCUGAGAAUGGAGUGGACAGACAGCCGAGGGAGAACACGGGUACCUUUCUUUGCACGAUGGAAUUUGGAUGGGAAAGAACUCUGAUACCCUUGGUAGCAAGCGAGUGUUCCAGCCCAGCCCACUACAGGCUUGGGUGUCCAGCCUAGGGGCAGCAGCUGUUGUAGCCCAGCCCGGUGCAAAGCAGGUCUGAGGUUGCCAAUGGACGUGGCAGGAAUGAGUCCCUCCUGCACGUUAGUUGGGCCCUGAUUGGCUGGACGUAGCCAUAGAAAUACGUUUUUAAAAUGAGGCCUAUGAGGGGAGAGCUAUCGAAUGUUCUGGUUACUAUGGGGGCUUUUGCGCUCUGCCUGCUGCCCUCUCCCACCUGGUUGCCUCAGGCGCUCUGGCUGUGAAAGGCCGGUAUGCAGCAGCCAUUUCCUCGUGGAAUCCCAUCUUCAGGACGUGGCAUGCUAUGUGAAUAGGUAGAUAGCAUGGGGUUAUGACACGUGUGACCUCGUGAUAACUCGGGCUGCUGGCACAGCCUGGCACAAGAUCAGACUGGCUCAGAUUCUUGUCUAGAUGAGUGAGGGCUCAUGCGCCUCUACUCUAGCCAAGGAGAGCUAUGGGAAGUUGAUAGCUGCUGGGGGCUGGGUAGGGAAUCAUUCUUCUUGGGGGAUUGUUCAUGGCGCAGCAGAUGGGUUUAUAUGUGUGCACAUAUGGUCAGUACUCAGUGGACUUAGCAUUCUUUUUUAAAAAAUGGGGACAUAAAAUUGGGACAUGGGCUUGUGUGGAGAGAUGAGGGAAUAAGAGAAGAAAGGGGUGGGUAUGAUCAAUAUAUAUGUAUACAUAUAUAUAUGUAUAUAUAUAUAUCUCAAGUAAUUGAAGGAACAUUUUCUUCCUUUUAACGAUUUACUACUUCUGUAUAAUCUCAUCUUUUUUUAUUAUUAGAUUCCUUUUUAAAAUACUGGAGUCCUUUGUUUUGUGGUUUAUUAUCACUGCUUUUAAAUAUUCAAUUAAUUUAUAUAUAGUUCCUUCUGUCACACUAAGGCAGUUCAUGGCAACAUAGCUCAGUAGCCAGUGUUGGUCCAAACCUCAGGCAUCUGACCCUGAGUUGUUUAUUUAAACACAGCGCGAUCGGGGGAAGCUACGAUUAACUCAGUGCCAUGUGCACGACAAAGCAAACAGAACUCUCUCUGAGGAGCACAGGAAACUAAAUACAGACCGGACAUCACGACCCUUCGUAAAGUAUGUGUGAUGGAUUCUGUAGACUGACUGAGAAAAACCAGCGCCGGGAAAGUCUUCAGCCACACAGAGUUUUCAGGGACCCCAGGCACAUCUGCUCCUGCCUGCUGGGUGGAUAACGCAAAGAAUGAUGGCCACAGAGGAGCAGCAGCAGCGGCAGCAGCAGCGGCAGCAGCAGCAGCAGCAGCAGCAGCAGCAGCGGCAGCAGCAGCAGCAGCAGAGCAGAUGCACCUGCCAGCAAGUGGCAAAGACACUUGGAUCUUUUUAAAACACAGCAAGAGGGCACUGAUGAAGACGGUGGCAGGCCUAACUCCUCAGCCUGGCCUCAGAGGAGGGAUGGAGGCAUCCUAGCCGCAUCCCAACCCUGGUGUCCUUUUCUUGUAGGAUGUAUGUGUUGUGGUUUUAAUAUUCUUGGCCAAGGGAGUGGCACUAUUAGAAGGUCUGGCCUUGUUGGAGUAGGUGUGUCACUGUGGGUGUGGGCUUUAAGACCCUCAUCCUACCUGCCUGGAAGUCAGUCUUCUCCUAGCAGCCUUCAGAUGAAGAUGUAGAACUCUCAGCUCCUCCUGCACCAUGCCUGCCUGGAUGUUGCCAUGUUCCCACCUUGAUGAUACUGGACUGAACCUCUGAACCUGUAAGUCAGCCCCAAUUAAAAGCUGUCCUUAUGAGAGUUGCCUUGGUCAUGGUGUCUGCUCACAGCAGUAAAACUCUAAGACAGAGUAUGUGCAUGUUCCACAGUGUCACACUGGGUCUGGGACAUGGGACAUCUCAAAUGAACUCUGUCAUGAAGUGAUGAGCCCUUGCAUGUCUCAGUGACUCCACCCAGACACUUCUCUGCCAAGGCAGACAGAUGGUGGGCUCCAUGAGGAACCAGAGCUUUUCAUUACACUUCCAUCCCUCCAUCCACCACGAACACUUGGGUAAAUGUCAGGGGCUCACAGGCUAACUUAGUAUAGAAAGGAUAACUUUGAAUCAUGCCCAGCUCAGGGGUUGUGGCCAGCUCACAGGGGCUGCUAAUGGGAUAAUUGGAGGUGACUGUUCACAGCUCACCCUUUCUUAAUCAAUGCUGAUGCUCUCAAUUUGUGGUGACACAUAGAUUGACUGGUGUCUUGAUUGUCUAGAAACUAUUCCACUUCUGAAUGUUUUGUAGAUAAAUCAUUGACACUCAAGGGUUUUUGAAAAUUCCCCUAGCUAAUGGAUGCUAAACACAUGGAAAUUUUACUUGUAGACAUUGUAGGGUUUGAGCAUUCAUGGUGAGGACAGCUUGGGUUGCUGUGAAUAGACAUCUGGAGUCCUGGCUCCCUCACUGUGGGGAAACCCUGCUACUUAAGGUCUCAGUCUACCAUGACUGGCUAGUUCCUCCGAGCUUGGCACAAAGUGGAGGACUCCAUUUGCCAGCAGGCCUUUCCCUCCUUUGACCUUGUCUGGGGAUCCCUAUCCCCUACCCCCUCUACCUGGGGAAGGUUAAAUAGUCCUUGGCAGACCUACAAGUUCAACUUUCCCUUUCUGCAUAGGAACCUGCCUGCCAGUAUCUGAGAUCCCUGGAAUGCCUUUAUAUACAAAUGAGACAGUCACAGAACUUUAAACUCUAGCCUGUAAUUUUCACUUACUCUGAAUACUCCUUCCCACUCUCCAAGGUUCACACACAGACCUUUUCCACCCUUAAUAAAGUAUAUGCGUACAAGCCCACCCUGAAUAAAAGUGUAUACACAAGCUAGGAUCAUCUAAGAGAACUGUCUCACUGAAGACUGUUGGAAAAUGCCUUGGUCUGAAAGAGCUGUGACACUGAGAUCCUCGGAGAAAGCCUUCUCUGUCCCCUGGUACUCACUCCCAGAUGGACAGGCAUCCUGCAGACCUCCCCUGUUUCUGACUCUGUUUCAUCCUUCCAGCCUGGUGUAUAGCAGCAUCUAGACACCCUGAGAGGGAGGAAGCAGAGGAUGUAGAGCCACAGAUCAACCCCAAAGCAUACCACAGGGCAGGUUAUUAGAACUUUCUGAGCACCAGUUUCCUCAUAAUAAUGGGGGAAUAAUUAAACCCAGCAUGACAGGUUUGAGGAAUCCCACAUGGUGAUAUCUUUGAAGCACACAGCAAAGUCAUCCGUAUCUGGAGGUGUCACGGCAGACAUGUUCCUCAUGUGCCAGAGGCUCAGAAGACCAACCCCUUAUCGCCCAUAGUCCUGUGGCCAGUGUGACUUCCGUGCUUCAAAGUUCCUUCCCACAAGGCAUGAAUGAUAACAGAAAGACCAAAAGCACCAUCAAUUCUGUGGUCGUAAAACGUUCCCUGUAGGUUCAUGCAUGCGAACCCUGGCUGGGGCCACUUGUGAACAUUGUGGAGCUUUAGGGGUGGAACCUUGCUGAAAGUUUGUUCUUGGGAAUGGUCGAGAUUUAUAGGCUGUCCACACUUCUACUCUCUUUUUCCUAUGUGAGGAGGAAAAAAACAUAAUUAGCCAAAUCCCUACUCCUGACUUCCUACCGUGACUGACUGUGACCCUCUGGAAUGGUAGGCUAAAAUAAACCCUUUCCUCUUCUAACUUGUCUGUUGCCAAGGUAUUUUAGCAUAGCUACAGAAAGUAGCCAUGCUGGCUCGUGUUCUGUGAACUCAAUACAACGUAUAGCCCAUUGGGAAAAAUGCCCCCACCUGAUUGGCCUGUAGGCAAGCCAAUGGGGGAUAUUUCUUGAUUGUUGAUUGGUGUAAGUGGGCUCAGUUCAUUGUGGGCAGGGCCACCCCUGGGCUGGCAGUCCUGGAUUCUAUAAGAAAUCAGGCUGAGCAGAUCAGUAAGCACCACCCUCCAUGACCUUUGCAUUGGUUCCUGCCUCUAGGUUCCUGCCCUGACUUCUCUCAGGGAUGGACUGUGUGGUCCAUGAACAGAAAUAAGCUGUUUCUUAUCCAAGUUGCAUUGGUCAUGGUGUUUUGUCACAACAACAGAGACCUUAAUUAAGACCAGUUACUGAGUACGUGGAGUCCAGAGCUCAGCAAAAGAUUACUCAUUCCUGAUGUUGCUCUUGACCAAGCACCUUCAGAUCCUUGUCCUGUGGAAGCCCCUAUGUUGUAAAAGGACUACUUGGAGUCUUCCUCCUGUGAAGAUUCAAGUCUUGUGGAGUCCCUAGAGGGUGCAGAGACAGCAACUCAAAGAAGCUGCAUUGUCUCGGCUGAUGGCUCUGAGACACACUUCUGGGCGUGCCCUUCCCAAAUUUCCUAGUCAGAAAGUUGUGAUCAAAAUUUACUGCUCAUUUGAAGCCUCUGAGUUGGGGGUGGAAGAGGGACAGAAUCAGGGUGCUCUGGUCACCAUGCUCUUGCUGAGGGAGAAGCUGUAAAAAGGAUGCUUCCUAAGCACCCCAGCCAAGAUGCUGAAUGUCCCUCUGCACCCCAGAGGACUUCAUCGUCUAUCCUGAGUGGGUUCACCUUCACUACCCAUCUUCCAGGCAUAC